rnacentral:rRNA from 1 species
UACGUAGGUGGCGAGCGUUGUCCGGAUUUACUGGGCGUAAAGAGCGCGCAGGCGGUCGUUCAAGUCGCGUGUGAAAGCCCCCGGCUCAACUGGGGAGGGUCACGCGAUACUGAUCGACUCGAAGGCAGGAGAGGGUAGUGGAAUUCCCGGUGUAGUGGUGAAAUGCGUAGAUAUCGGGAGGAACACCAGUGGCGAAGGCGGUUCUCUGGGACGGUACUGACGCUGAGACGCGAAAGCGUGGGGAGCGAACAGG